rnacentral:rRNA from 1 species
UCGAGAAUCAUUCGCAAUGGGCGAAAGCCUGACGGUGCGACGCCGCGUGGAGGAUGAAGGUCCUAGGAUUGUAAACUCCUGUCAUCAGGGAGUAAAGCUCAGGUGUUAAUAGCGCCUUGAGCCUGCUAGUACCUGAAGAGGAAGGGGCGGCUAACUCCGUGCCAGCAGCCGCGGUAACACGGAGGCCCCCAGCGUUGUUCGGAAUUACUGGGCGUAACGGGUGCGUAGGCGGCGAGGUAAGUCAGAUGUGAAAGCCCGGGGCUCAACCCCGGAAUUGCAUCCGAGACUGCUUUGCUUGAGGGUUGGAGAGGAGACUGGAAUUCACGGUGUAGCAGUGAAAUGCGUGGAUAUCGUGAGGAAGGCCAAUGGCGAAGGCAGGGCUCUGGACAACUCCUGACGCUGAUGCACGAAGGCAAGGGGAGCAAAAA